UACGUAGGUGGCAAGCGUUGUCCGGAUUUACUGGGUGUAAAGGGCGUGCAGCCGGAGAGGCAAGUCAGAUGUGAAAUCCGCGGGCUCAACCCGCGAACUGCAUUUGAAACUGCUUCCCUUGAGUAUCGGAGAGGUAAUCGGAAUUCCUAGUGUAGCGGUGAAAUGCGUAGAUAUCACGCAGAACUCCGAUUGCGAAGGCGGCCUGCUGGACAAUAACUGACGCUGAGGCGCGAAAGCGUGGGGAGCAA
rnacentral:rRNA from 1 species